rnacentral:lncRNA from 1 species
GGGGGCCCACAUGAUAUUCCUUUUUCGUCUUUCUUUCCAAAUGGAUAAGGGGGACUUUUUUUGCUUGGGCUAUCAUCACAAAGAAUAAAAUAUAUAUACACCAUUGCACACAAUUUUCAUUUUGGGGAUGGGGGAGGGAGGGACCCGCAGGGAACACAAUAUUCUCUCCGUUCUUUAUAUAUAUCACACACAGGCCCUCCUCAUCAGAGAGUAACAACAAUACCCUCACACUGACCUCACCAUCACACACCCAUAUACACUACACACUCUUAAUUCUACCGGGAUACACACAGAAACGGAUAGAUAAGAGAUGACGUGAGAAAGAGAGAGCUGUUAGAGAGUGAGAAAGAAAUCUGUGAGAGAGUGACAGAGAUUUAUGAGAGAGGGAGAGAUUCGCGAUUGAAAUCGAAAGAGAAUGAUGGCAAAGCAGUUUUCGGUGAGUGAGAGCUUGAGGAACACGAGUUUGGAGGUUUGAUUACUGUUCCGGGGAUAGGCUCGCCGGAAUAGCGUCUAGCUAUCGUAAAUUUGUUCAAAACCCAACGAAUACGUCUCAACUGAUAUAUCUUUGUCAUUUUGGUCAUAGCAGAAGUUUAUUGGGGUUACAACAACACAAAAUUAUCAAACAAACCUCGAUCUGCUUUUGAUUCCGUCCAAACCCGUUGGAAUUGGGCCGGAUUUCUCUUAUUUCUCAUGAUUUUUUGUUCGAGGUUGUGUGGGUUUGUGAGAAUCUAGUCCAGGUCUCUUUGUUUUUGUGAUUCUCAGUUUCGAGUUGGAUGAGUUCAUUUGUUUGAGGUUCGGUUCGAGGUUUCUGGGCGUGGAUUCUCUUUAUUCGAAUAACAUUGAAUUUGAAAGCUACGAAUCAAGGUCCAAUUCUAUUAUCUCUCUUUAUAUUUCAUUAUUUAAUGUAUUUUGGUGCGUUGGAUUGAAUAUUGUAUGUUUUGUUUGAUCCUUGUUGGUGAUGAAUGCGUAUUUGUUUUGAUUCGCGGUUGGUUCCUUUGAUUAUGAUUUGUAUGGUGAAAUAGCAUCUCAUUUGAUAAUUAAAAUUGGUUGUUUGGGGCGGAAUUAAAAUUGAUAAAAGUAAAUACAUAUUUGUUUUAAUUCAUUAUUAGCGGUUUAAUUUGGAAUAAGCAUGAAUUUUGUUGAAACAGAUAGGCAAAUGUAGGUUUGGGUAGGCAAAUUUAGAACUUGUGUCUGUUUGAAUGUUUGAAUGUGCGUGGGCCGUACUUGAUUCUAAUGUAUUCAUUUAGAGUAGGUGUUUCAUGUACAUCUUUAAAAGAAAACAACAAAAAAAAUAUAUUUUCCUUUAAUAGGUUCAAGUGUCAUUUUCGUAUGAAAUUCAAAAAUCGAAAAUCCAAAAAUAUUUUCUUUGGUAAUCAUAGAUUUCAUUUUGUACAGGAAUCUAAAAAAAUUUAAAAGAUUUCCCUCACUCUUUAUUUAGAGUAAGUAUACAUCUUUAAAAGAAAACUACAUAAUGAUUUUUCUUUAAUAGGUUCAAGUUUCAUUUUCAUAGGAAAUUCAAAAUGGAAAACCCAAAAAGAUUUUCUUUGGUAAUUAUAGAUUUCAUUUUGUAUAAAGAUUUAAACUUGAAAAAUACAAAAAUAUUUUUGUCAAUUCUUUUGACAAUUUGUUAUUUUCUUCUCUUUGAAGUUUCAAGAAAAAGAAUAAAAAAAAGGAGUUUAAUUGGCCAUUUUGGCAAGACUUCACGAACUAUGCAUACAUGAUUCUCCUCUUUCGGGAGUGAGAUACGUAGGCACCCUUCUUGGGUUCAGUGAUCUUUUCAAAAAAAAGGGGGAGGAGGUGGGGGGGAGGUUUUGAAAAAGUGUUGAACUCAAACACAUUUGUUGGUUUUUGUUAAGUCAGUUUAAGGUGGUUGGUUUGUGGCAUUCUGGCCGAUCCUUCACCUCACACCAAAUCCAAAGGGUUAGUUGUGUCCAACAAAGAUAUAGAGAGUGGCGUUAUGGAUCAAACAAAAAAUCAGGAAAAUGAGAGUUUUAAGCAAGAGAUUAGGUAGCUAAGACAACAAAUGACAGAAAUGCAUCGAGCUUAGGCCAGUGGGUUGCCUCCUCCUCCAUUUCCCUUUAUUGAUCCUACAAAUACCACGAGUUUUUCACCAAAAAUCUCAAAUUCAGUUUUCUACUAUUGUUGAUGCACCGCAACAUGACUCAGAAUUCAUUCCAAGCUAAAAGCAUCUCAAUACUCCCACCACUUUUCCUCUAGCUCCUCAGCAUAAGCUUGCUACAUUCAUAACACCAUAUGUCUUCUGUGAUCUUAUUGCUCAAUUCUCUACUAAGACGUCUACACUGGCUCGCACAAUGGUCGGGCAUCCCCAUGCAGCUAGUGAACCUAUAUUAAAUACUCUUGGUGAUCAUUGUUAUACUCCUGAGCCUGCUUUUAAGUUAACUGGACCACCAAAAUUUCUUAACAAAAAGUUCAGUGAGCCAGAAAAGUUGGAAAAAUGGUUGGAAAAAUGAAGAGUGCAGAAAGUGCUAUGAAAAAUUCUCUAGGACCUGCGGGUAAAGAAGAUGUUUCAUACAAAGACUGGGGCAUGCCUUCAAGCGCUAACCUUCCUCCAAUCUUUGAGAUGUCAAAAUUUGAGGAGCAAGAUGGGCAUGAGGAAUCCGUGAAACAUUUGGGACAAUAUUGCAAUCAAUUAAGGGAACCUGGAGGGAAGAAGAAUGAGAAAGAUGGCACUGCUAUUGUAGUUGGAGAACGGGCACAUCCAAUAAGACGACGUCGUCGUUUCCGUCAGUAUCAAGCCCAAGUUCAUACCCAAUCUCUCCAUAAUCACUCCCAAAAUCCAUUAUACCCUGUUUCCCCACCUCCAUAUCGAGUAUAUUGCGCACAACCAUAUGUUCAACUCCCUCUUUACCUACAAUGGCGCGCACCAACUCCUCAAAGUCAUCCUCUAAUUCCCCAAACAUACCAAAGCCCUUCUAGGCCCGAUGUUCGAUCCAAGUUAAACAAUGAAAUAAGGUAGAAAUUGAGGGAUAGUUUCACACCAAUUGGAGAGUCGUAUGCCAGUUUAUUUCAGAGAUUGGCACAAUGAGGCAUGAUUACUCCUCUCUUUGGGUAUACUCAUAACCCGCAUUCAAGAAGUUUUGAUCCUAAUGUAUGAUGUGCAUAUCAUUCUGAUGUUCAAGGUCACAGUAUUGAAGAUUGUCAUGCUUUGAAAAGAGAAAUUGAAAAGAUGAUUCAAGACAAAUUGAUUAUGGUGCAGAACAUUGAAAGUGAGGAUAACUCUAGUCAUGCUGAUAUGCAAACUAGUGGCUAAGAUGUCAGGCUGAGAAAUUGAGAAGUCACCCUUCUCCCUACUAGGAAGAGGUCUGAUAGUUUGUUUUGUUUUAUUUUCUAUUAUCCGAAUUAUUUCAGGGUUGUAGUUCGGGAUCUAUCUUGUUUUGUCCAUUUGUCAUUAUUUUCAAACCCUUCUAUCUUUUAUUUUAAUUAAAUGAAGUAUCCCUUUCUCCUUUGUGUUUUAAAUAUGUUUUUGUUUAUUUUCUUUCCACAUUACAUUUUAUGUUAACUCUAGUGAUAUGACAUGCUAACGGAAUUUUCAGUCAGAUCUUAAAAUCCAGUUUAAGCAUGAACCUUGAAUCAGAGGGUUAAAGUUAGAAAAUAGAGCAUCUGAGAAAAUAGGUAGAGUGUUGAGACAUUUGGGGACAAGUUCAAGCCUUCUUGGAAAAUUAAGGCAAUUAUUUUGAGAAUCACAAGAAUAAAUUGGUCAUUAAUUGAAAGACAUAGCUCAAUUAGGUCAAAUAAUGGCUGCGUGAACAGAAAGAAAAUCAGCUCCACGAAAGCAUGAAUAAUUCGAUGUGAGGAAUGUACAACAAAAGCGGAGUGAUAUGUUGAACAAAGUGAAAGAGUAGUGACGCAUAGACUCAGUUAAAGUUAAUGCUUAAAAAUGUCACAAAUGAUCAUCAUCUCUCACUUUUAUAUUGCAUGAUAUAUACUUGCAUUUUUAUGGAUUGAUAUGACGAAGGCAUUUGAUUCUGCUAUCCAAAUAUCGUGUCAUCCUUUGUUUACCUAAUUUGAGCUUUAGUCCUAUUUUAUUUCAUACCCCUCUUUUGGAAUCAAGAUAGAGUCAAAAGAAAAGUGUCGAGCAAAACAAUAGAGUCAGAAAAAGUUCAAAAAAAAAAUAGAAGAAAAAGAAAAUAUGUCCAAAAAGAAAAAGAAAAAGAAAAGAAAAGUGUCAGGACAAGUAGAGUCAAAAAAAUCCAAAGAGAAAAAAGUGUUAAUAAAAGAAAAAGAAUCAAAAGUCUAAAUCAUGCAAAAUAAGCUGCCAGAACUAUGCAUGACCUGAUUCUCCUCUCUCAGGGGUGAGAUAAGUAGGUUGCCCUACUAAGGGCUCAAUCCAACCAAAUAAACAAUUUAGAAUUUCGCAGUCAAAAGAAAUUGGGGCAUGAUUUAAUCUUCAUUGUUUGAGUCGAUUCCAAAAGUUGUAAGUCCUACCUCACUUCAAGUGUCUUUUAGGCCUUAUGUUAUCCUUUUCUUCUAACCUUAUCCAAAAGCCAAGAUAUAACCAAAGAAAGACCUUUAGAUCAAUCUUUGAGAAUGUUAAGACUAAGCAUGCAAUGAAUGUGAUGACACAUUUUGGGAACUACUUGUCUACUUUAGCAAUAAGAAUCGGGAGAGAAAUAAAAAUGAGAGAGUCUUAUUAGUGAAAACCCUCACGGGCACCGUAAGAUAAUGGUAAGCUGAGGGAAAUAAAAAUGAGAGAGUCUUAUCGGUGAAAAUCCUCACGUGCACCGUAUGAUGAUGGUAAGCUGAGGGAUAUAACAAUGAGAGAGUCUUAUCGAUGAAAACUCUCACGGGCACUGUAAGAUGAUGGUAAGCUGAGGGAGAUAACAAUGAGAGAGUCUUAUCGGUGAAAACCCUCACGGGCCCUAUAAGACAACAGUGAGUUGAGACAAAUAGAAAUAAGAGAGUUUCAUUGGUGAAAAUCCCUCAUGGACACCAUAGGGAAAUAGUGAGCUGGGAAAAAGAAAAUGAGAGAGGCUUGUUGGCAAAAACCAUUCAAGGGGUCACUAGCCGAAUGAGAUCUUAAAUGCAAUUGGCCUAAGGAAGCAACUCAAUUUCGAGGUCAUUAACUCAACAACAAUUGAUAGAAAGUUUUGGAUAUAAAAAUUAGGCAGUUUAAUCCGAUAUGCAUGUCAUAAUUAUUAGAGUUGACUAUCAUUUUCAGAUAAACUUUUCUUUCAUCUUUUUCAAUGGGGACAUUCAUUGUCGUUUCUUACUUCUCUUUAGUUAUAUUUUUAUUUCGUUGAGUUAGUUAUCCAAAUAAAACAAAAAUUGUUGUCAUUUUUCUAUUGUCUUUGAGUCAAGUCCAUGUCAAAACAAAUGAGAAAAGAUUUCAAAAUUGGCUACCAGCUUCUUCAAUUGCACAAAGCAAGACAAAGCGCCAACACAUAAAAGAAACAAGAUUGCAAGCUAGAACAAGGCAUGCAGAAAGUUUUGUCAAUAGAUAAGUCUGGGAACUCAUGCAAAUACCAAGGUUCAAAGAGUUUAUCUGAGUAGCAUGGCGAAGCAGAGAUACUGUGUUUGUUUUAGAGUCAUUUCCAUGAUAAAGCAGGGGAAAGUGCCAGCAAUCAGAAACAAAAUGAAGGGAAUGAACACUGGAACAGGUGUCAGGAAGGCCAAGUGCUGCAAACCACCACUAAGUUUGUGACUGAAUAAUUUUCUUUGUUGAAAUAGGGGCAAAUUCGCUUUACUUAAUUCAUCUACCAUUUGAAAUACACAUCCGUGAGAUUUCACUUUCUGUCCAGGACCCUCCUAAAAAAUGGGAUUUUACUUUUUGUUCAGGACCCUCCUAAAAAAUAAGAUUUUAUCUUCUGUUCAGGACCCUCUUGAAGAAUGGGAUUUUACCUUCUAUUCAGGACCUUCCUGAAAAAUGGGAUUUUACUUUUUGUUCAGGACCCUCCUAAAAAAUAAGAUUUUAUCUUCUGUUCAGGACCCUCCUGAAGAAUGGGAUUUUACCUUCUAUUCAGGACCCUCCUGAAAAAUGGGAUUUUACUUUAUGUUCAGGACCCUUCUGAAAAAUGGAAUUUUACUUUAUGUUUAGGACCCUCCUAAAAAUGAGAUUUUACCUUCUGUUCAGGACCCUCCUGAAAAAUAGGAUUUUACUUUCUGUUCAGGACCCUCCUAAAAAUUGGAAUUUUACUUUAUGUUCAGGACCCUCGUGAAAAUGGGAUUUUACUUUAUGUUCAGGACCCUCCUGAAAAAUGGGAUUUUACCUUCUGUUCAGGACCCUCCUGAAAAUGGGAUUUUACCUUCUGUUCAGGACCCUCCUGAAAAUGGGAUUUUACCUUCUGUUCAGGACCUUCCUGAAAAAAAAAUGAGAUUUUACUUUAUGUUCAGGACCCUCUUGAAAAAUAAGAUUUUACUUUCUGUUUAGGACUCCCCUGAAAAAUGGGAUUUCACUUUCUGUUCAGGACCCUCCUGAAAAAUGGGAUUUCACUUUAUGUCCAGGACCCUCAUGAAAAAUGGGAUUUUAAUUUCUGUUCAGGACCCUCCUAAAAAAUGGGAUUUCACUUUAUUUUUAG